ACAUCACAAACAAAGGUAUCCUCACUUCCCCUCCUACAAAGGAAUGCAAACACCUGGGGAAAGGCUGGAUCCCAAGAGACCCCUGAAGCCCCAAGAGCUCCCCUGAUUGUUCCAAAGCAACAAUCCCCCCCAUGAACAACUCAGGGACCCCCUCGAUCCACGGCGUGAGGCCCACCAGCAGAGGAAGAGGAGCGUCCAGUCCUGACUCCCACUAGGCGCAGGGGAGCCGAGCUCCUCUUUGGGUGGAUUAAAACAGACUUGGACAGAGUCUGGAAAAACAAACUCCUUUAAGACAAGACAAAGAUUGAGUCUGGCCAACUGGCUAUUUUCAAUCCUUGCUGAACGGAGUCAAGGCAGUCGGUAGUAACAGCUUGUGGCCAUCCGCAAUUGUUCUCCCCGCACGAGAGGGUGGAGCCUCCUGGAAGUGACCAGAGCCGGUGACUUCGGGAAUCAACCCUCCUGAAACAGCCGAUGGCCUAGAUUCCCCAAAGCUCGCUGGAUGCACAUCCCUUGCUCAGCAGUCCACAUCAUCCGUAUCUCUCAUCCCACAGCCGCGGGCUGCCCAGCCAGGUGAGAAAAACAGGGGCGUCCACACACCCCGUUUGAGA